rnacentral:rRNA from 2 species
GACUCUCGGCAACGGAUAUCUCGGCUCUCGCAUCGAUGAAGAACGUAGCGAAAUGCGAUACUUGGUGUGAAUUGCAGAAUCCCGUGAACCAUCGAGUCUUUGAACGCAAGUUGCGCCCGAAGCCAUCAGGCCGAGGGCACGCCUGCCUGGGCGUCACGC